rnacentral:rRNA from 1 species
CACGUAGGGCGCGAGCGUUGUCCGGAAUUAUUGGGCGUAAAGAGCUCGUAGGCGGCUUGUCGCGUCGAAUGUGAAAACUCGGGGCUCAACUCCGAGCUUGCAUUCGAUACGGGCAGGCUAGAGUUCGGUAGGGGAGACUGGAAUUCCUGGUGUAGUGGUGAAAUGCGCAGAUAUCGGGAGGAACACCGGUGGCGAAGGCGGUUCUCUGGGCCUUACCUGACGCUGAGGAGCGAAAGCGUGGGGAGCGAACAGG